rnacentral:rRNA from 1 species
GACGAACGCUGGCGGCGUGCUUAACACAUGCAAGUCGAACGGAAAGGCCCUGCUUUUGUGGGGUGCUCGAGUGGCGAACGGGUGAGUAGCACGUGAGUAACCUGCCCUUGACUUUGGGAUAACUUCAGGAAACUGGGGCUAAUACCGGAUAGGAGCUCCUGCUGCAUGGUGGGGGUUGGAAAGUUUCGGCGGUUGGGGAUGGACUCGCGGCUUAUCAGCUUGUUGGUGGGGUAGUGGCUUACCAAGGCUUUGACGGGUAGCCGGCCUGAGAGGGUGACCGGCCACAUUGGGACUGAGAUACGGCCCAGACUCCUACGGGCGGCAGCAGUGGGGAAUAUUGCACAAUGGGCGGAAGCCUGAUGCAGCAACGCCGCGUGCGGGAUGACGGCCUUCGGGUUGUAAACCGCUUUCGCCUGUGACGAAGCGUGAGUGACGGUAAUGGGUAAAGAAGCACCGGCUAACUACGUG